rnacentral:rRNA from 1 species
AGAGUUUGACAUGGCUCAGGACGAACGCUGGCGGCGUGCCUAAUACAUGCAAGUCGAGCGGAGAAAUGGGAGCUUGCUCCCAUUUCUCAGCGGCGGACGGGUGAGUAACACGUGGGCAACCUGCCCUACAGACUGGGAUAACUCCGGGAAACCGGAGCUAAUACCGGGUAACACGUAGCAUCGCAUGAUGCAACGUUGAAAGUUGGCCUUUGGCUAACACUGUAGGAUGGGCCCGCGGCGCAUUAGCUAGUUGGUAAGGUAACGGCUUACCAAGGCCACGAUGCGUAGCCGACCUGAGAGGGUGAUCGGCCACACUGGGACUGAGACACGGCCCAGACUCCUACGGGAGGCAGCAGUAGGGAAUCUUCCGCAAUGGACGAAAGUCUGACGGAGCAACGCCGCGUGAGUGACGAAGGCCUUCGGGUCGUAAAGCUCUGUUGUUAGGGAAGAACAAGUACCGUUCGAAUAGGGCGGUACCUUGACGGUACCUAACCAGAAAGCCACGGCUAACUACGUGCCAGCAGCCGCGGUAAUACGUAGGUGGCAAGCGUUGUCCGGAAUUAUUGGGCGUAAAGCGCGCGCAGGCGGUCUCUUAAGUCUGAUGUGAAAGCCCACGGCUCAACCGUGGAGGGCCAUUGGAAACUGGGGGACUUGAGUGCAGAAGAGGAGAGUGGAAUUCCACGUGUAGCGGUGAAAUGCGUAGAUAUGUGGAGGAACACCAGUGGCGAAGGCGGCUCUCUGGUCUGUAACUGACGCUGUAAGGCGCGAAAGCGUGGGGAAGCAAACAGGAUUAGAUACCCUGGUAGUCCACGCCGUAAACGAUGAGUGCUAGGUGUUGGGGGGUUCCACCCUCAGUGCUGAAGUUAACACAUUAAGCACUCCGCCUGGGGAGUACGACCGCAAGGUUGAAACUCAAAGGAAUUGACGGGGGCCCGCACAAGCAGUGGAGCAUGUGGUUUAAUUCGAAGCAACGCGAAGAACCUUACCAGGUCUUGACAUCCUCUGCCACUCCUAGAGAUAGGACGUUCCCCUUCGGGGGACAGAGUGACAGGUGGUGCAUGGUUGUCGUCAGCUCGUGUCGUGAGAUGUUGGGUUAAGUCCCGCAACGAGCGCAACCCUUGAUCUUAGUUGCCAGCAUUCAGUUGGGCACUCUAAGGUGACUGCCGGUGACAAACCGGAGGAAGGUGGGGACGACGUCAAAUCAUCAUGCCCCUUAUGACCUGGGCUACACACGUGCUACAAUGGACGGUACAAAGGGCAGCAACACCGCGAGGUGAAGCGAAUCCCAUAAAGCCGUUCUCAGUUCGGAUUGCAGGCUGCAACUCGCCUGCAUGAAGCCGGAAUUGCUAGUAAUCGCGGAUCAGCAUGCCGCGGUGAAUACGUUCCCGGGCCUUGUACACACCGCCCGUCACACCACGAGAGUUUGUAACACCCGAAGUCGGGUGAGGUAACCUUUUGGAGCCAGCCGCCGAAAGGUGGGACAAAUGAUUGGGGUGAAGUCGUAACAAGGUAGCCGUAUCGGAAGGUGCGGCUG